GGCUCAGAUUGAACGCUGGCGGCAUGCUUUACACAUGCAAGUCGAACGGUAACAGGUCUUCGGAUGCUGACGAGUGGCGAACGGGUGAGUAAUGCAUCGGAACGUGCCCAGUCGUGGGGGAUAACGCAGCGAAAGCUGUGCUAAUACCGCAUACGAUCUAUGGAUGAAAGCGGGGGACCGUAAGGCCUCGCGCGAUUGGAGCGGCCGAUGUCAGAUUAGCUAGUUGGUGGGGUAAAGGCCCACCAAGGCGACGAUCUGUAGCUGGUCUGAGAGGACGACCAGCCACACUGGGACUGAGACACGGCCCAGACUCCUACGGGAGGCAGCAGUGGGGAAUUUUGGACAAUGGGCGCAAGCCUGAUCCAGCAAUGCCGCGUGCAGGAAGAAGGCCUUCGGGUUGUAAACUGCUUUUGUACGGAACGAAAAGGUCCGGGUUAAUACCCUGGGCUCAUGACGGUACCGUAAGAAUAAGCACCGGCUAACUACGUG
rnacentral:rRNA from 1 species